AGCGAACGCUGGCGGCAGGCCUAACACAUGCAAGUCGAACGGACCCUUCGGGGUUAGUGGCGGACGGGUGAGUAACACGUGGGAACGUGCCUUUAGGUUCGGAAUAGCUCCUGGAAACGGGUGGUAAUGCCGAAUGUGCCCUUCGGGGGAAAGAUUUAUCGCCUUUAGAGCGGCCCGCGUCUGAUUAGCUAGUUGGUGUGGUAAUGGCUCACCAAGGCGACGAUCAGUAGCUGGUCUGAGAGGAUGACCAGCCACAUUGGGACUGAGACACGGCCCAAACUCCUACGGGAGGCAGCAGUGGGGAAUCUUGCGCAAUGGGCGAAAGCCUGACGCAGCCAUGCCGCGUGAAUGAUGAAGGUCUUAGGAUUGUAAAAUUCUUUCACCGGGGACGAUAAUGACGGUACCCGGAGAAGAAGCCCCGGCUAACUUCGUGCCAGCCGCCGCAGUAACAC
rnacentral:rRNA from 1 species